CAGACCUGGAGAACAGUGGUCUGUCUGUGUGACAUCAGAGCGUUCGACUUUCGCAGCGUCCGGGGUCUUCGGCCUCGGAUUCAUCGACUCUCCCCAACCUGGGCUGUCACCUCACACGACUGAUGAACCUGAAUGGUGAGCGGAGGACCAGAGCUACCUUCCUGAGCUCCAAGGUUCUAGACUGUUGCGUCCCCUAACUGAAUGACAAACCCUAGACUCGCUGGGAAGUCAAGGUGACCAAUGACGGCUCUCAGUACAGUGAGCCUAAGGUGCUAACAAUCUACGAUGGCGUGCGCCAGGUGUGUG
rnacentral:lncRNA from 1 species